rnacentral:lncRNA from 1 species
CAUAAGUAAUAAGAAAACUAGCAAAAGACUCAUCAAAUCUAUUGCAUCCAAAUGUGUUUCCCUUGUUCCUUACAAAACCUACUUCUUGGCAGGGCCGUUGGAGUCCCCUCCAGCAGAGUUGAGCUCAUCCCAAGCUUCAAUCCAAGUGACCAUUGCCUCAGACAGCUUAAGGAAGUAAGGAUCGAUGGGGCCGAGUUUCUCCUUCACUAGCUUCGACAGUUCGAUGUAGCAUUUCUGAACCGUUGUGCAUUCUUUUGGGAGGACGACCGACUGGAAGAACGGGAUUAUGUCUUCUUGCCAGAAGAUACCU